GCAAACUUGGUCAUUUAGAGGAAGUAAAAGUCGUAACAAGGUUUCCGUAGGUGAACCUGCGGAAGGAUCAUUAACAGUUCCUGGCCGAAACCCUUCGCGGGCUAGGCCGCUGAACUUACACCCUGGCCCGGAGACCGCGUCUCCCCGCCGCUCCCUCAGCGCGGGGGGAUGCGCGUCCGGGUUUCAUGUGUUCACCCCUCACCCUCUGCGAAACUUUAUACCUUUGCUUCGGCAGCACCGUGCGCGGGCAACCGUGACCGGGUAAGGCUGUCGGAAGCUCAUACCAAAACAUGUUGAUGAAAUGUCAUGCUGUCUGAUGAACCACUGUUUUGAGAAAUCAAAUCAUAUUAAAACUUUCAGCAACGGAUCUCUUGGUUCCCGCAUCGAUGAAGAACGCAGC
rnacentral:misc_RNA from 1 species